GACGAACGCUGGCGGCGUGCUUAACACAUGCCAGUCGAACGGAAAGGCCCCUUUGGGGGUACUCGAGUGGCGAACGGGUGAGUAACACGUGAGUAACCUGCCCUUGACUUCGGGAUAACUUCAGGAAACUGGGGCUAAUACCGGAUAGGAAUCCUUGCUGCAUGGUGGGGGUUGGAAAGCUUCGGCGGUUUUGGAUGGACUCGCGGCUUAUCAGCUUGUUGGUGGGGUAGUGGCUUACCAAGGCUUUGACGGGUAGCCGGCCUGAGAGGGCGACCGGCCACAUUGGGACUGAGAUACGGCCCAGACUCCUACGGGAGGCAGCAGUGGGGAAUAUUGCACAAUGGGCGGAAGUCUGAUGCAGCAACGCCGCGUGCGGGAUGACGGCCUUCGGGUUGUAAACCGCUUUCAGCAGGGGCGAAGCUUGUGGUGACGGUACCUGCAGAAGAAGCACCGGCUAACUACGUG
rnacentral:rRNA from 1 species